rnacentral:rRNA from 1 species
AGUGAACGCUGGCGGCGUGCCUGAUAUAUGCAAGUCGUAGGAAGUGGCGCACGGGUGAGUAAUAUAUAGCUAAUCUGCCCCUUGCUGGAGGACAACCGUUAGAAAUGACUGCUAAUACUCCAUAGCAAGGGAUGAGACUAUAUCGUAUCAGCUAGUCGGUGGGGUAACGGCCUACCGAGGCUAUGAUGCGUAACUGGUAUGAGAGGAGGAUCAGUUACAGUGGAACUGAGUCACGGUGAAAACUCCAGCGGGAGGCAUCAGUAGGUAAUAUUGCGCAAGGGGGGAAACACGGACGAAGCAACGCGGCGUGGAGGAUGACACUUUUUGGAGCGUAAACUCCGUACGUUAGGGAAGCGGGAGCUAACUAAUGGCCACCGGCUAACGCGCUGCCAGCAGCCGCGGUAAUUC